GUUUGGUUUGCCAUCACUUUUUGUGACUUUUCUGACAUCUGCAAGUGUCGGAAGUGUGACCUGAAACAUUUAAGGACACUUCUGCCUGAACCAUGGGCAGAUGUUUAGACUCCAAGAUACAGAGGAGGAGGGUCUUGGAGGUUUCUUAGUAUAAGUUCCUCCCUGUGGUACUUGCAGUUCCUACAAGGGGCUGUCAGAGAAACAAGCCGGAGAAGAGCAAGACAUGGUCCUGGUGCAUGAAAGGAGCCUAAGAAAGAAGAGUGAAAGCUGCACGUGUGUGAGUAUCUAGCAGAACAUCUAGAAAAUGCACACCAACCUCCAGCAGCAGAAAACAGUCUACCUCCAGAAAGCCAUAAAAGAGAAAAGAAUGUUGUACCAAACUAAGCAAAUGAAGCAUGAAAUGAAAAGCCGGUUGAGCUGGGAGGUAUAAAGAAUGGAAAGGAAGCAGCUACCACCCCUGGUAACCCCAUCAAUCCGGAGAAGCUUCGCAGAGUUACACUGUGCUCUGUCGGGAAGGAAAUGAAUUUUCCUCAUUGUACACAUUCCGAGAAAAAUGAGGCUAAGACUAUUUCAAAGGAUGUUCUACCUAAUUCGAAUGGGCUUUAAGUGCCAUCUUCACAAUAGCGCCAGAGUCUGGUGUCAGCAAACUGAACAAAUAGAGCUACAGGGAGCGAAUGGGGCUGGGUGCCUCUCCAAAACAUAUGCAGAUGAACUUGAGAUUUCAGAGGACGGUUAAUCCUACACAGCAGUCAAGUGCCUUCCCAGGGGUAUGUCUCAGAUCUCAGGGCUCCCUUCCAAACACUGGCUGCCACGUCAAACCAAAGGGGACGAGCAAUCAGACUCACCUCAAACGCCAGUUAAGAAAGCCGGCCUUACUUAAGCAAUCAAGGGCAAGUGAUCAGCCAACUCUGCUUUCUUUCCUUUCUCUUGGAUCAUUUAUAGACCUUGUGGCCGUGGCCACCACAUUGAGAAGCCCUUGGUCUCUACUUGGACUCACUAUAGCAGAGCAUCCUGGCAGGCAUCCACUGUGCCAUAUGCUUUCGGGAAGUCUGGAUGCUGAAUGUGGUGGCUGUGGGGAAUUGAGCCUUAUUGCUUCAUAAGAUUCCUGGUGGUAGAACUAUUCUGAACAAGAACACGUCCGUCCCCAUAGGUGUGCUCCAAGAAUCACAGAAUAAGAAGGGACUUCGGAGAGAGCCUCACACAGUUGGGCAAUGGGAGCCCAGAGAGGCAAGGAAGGCUCCUUGCCCAAAGUCUUGUACAUCUGAAUCUGCAACUCCUGACUAUUUUUGAGUCUUAUGCUCCAGGCUAAAACUUGUGACUUUAAGUGUGAUGUUCUCGGUGAUGAUUAAUCUAGGAUGUUUCUGUUGUUUUCUUACCGUCAAAGAAUUAACAUCAAAAGGAAAGGAAGGAAGAAAUGUAGAAGUGAAGGCAAGAAGGAAGGAAGGAGGAAAGGAAGGAAGGAAAAUAUAGGCUUUGGGUAAAAAUAAGUUUCUACUCAACACUGACAAAGGUACAGGUUUUGGACAUUGGUUUCCUAAUCUGUAAAUGAGGAAUAGUCAUCACAUCGCUGUCCUGGCUGGUUUUGUGUGUCAACUUGACACAAGCUGGAGUUAUCACAGAGAAAGGAAAGAAAAUGCCUCCAUGAGAUCUAGCUGUAAAUGGAUUAGUGAUCAAGAGUGGGAGGGCCCAGUGUGGGUGGUGCCAUCCCUGGACUGGUGGUCCUGGGUUCUACAAGAAAACAAGCUGAGCAAGCCAGGGGAAGCAAGCCAGGGGAACAUCCCUCCACGGCUCUGCAUCAGCUCCUGCUUCCUGCCCUGUGUGAGUUCCAGUCCUGACUUCCUUUGGUGACGAACAGCAAUGUGAUAGUAUAAGCUGAAUAAACCCUUUCCUCCCCAAC
rnacentral:lncRNA from 1 species